UUUUUUUUUUUUUGAGACACAGUCUUGCUCUGUUGCCCAGGCAGGAGUGCAGUGGCAGGAUCAUGGCUCGCUGCAGCCUCAAACUCCCAGGCUCAGGUGAUUCUCCUACCUCAGCCUCCCAAGUAGCUGGAACUACAGGCGCACCCACCACAUCCAGCUAACUUUUGUAUUUUUGUAGAGAUGGGGUCUUGUCAUGUUGCCCAGGCUGGUCUCAAAUUCCUGGGCUCAAGUGAUCCACCCGCCUUGGCUUUCCAAAGUGCUGAACUUACGUGCAUGAGCCACUGCGCUGGCCCAAGGCCUCAACUUUGAGGCUUCUAGAUUGGGGUGGAACAAGGGAGGGAUGAGAAUGUUGUGAAAGUACCAAGGAACAGUGGAGCUGCUGGCUGAAACUAGGAACAUGAGCAAAGGAGCGAGUGAGGGGCAGGGGAGGUGGUGAGAAUGAGCUUGGCAUUGGCCUUGAUUUUCAGGGGGUCUCUGCUGAGGUCUGUCCCAGUGCUGAUCUUCUCAAUGUCCCUGGAAGGAAGGAACAUCUCACUGUGGCCCCUCCACCCCCACAUAUUCUGGGCAGGAAGGAGCAGGAUCUGUUUUGUCAACGCAGCUUGCAAUAAAGACUCUCAUUCAGAGAGGCAAACAGCUGCUUGACUAUUAAUAGGCAGGGCGGCAGCCACAGCCUGCUGGGAGGGCCUCUGCAUGCAGUUCUGGAAAGGUGAAUCGGUUCCUUCUGCCUGUCUGGGUUUUGCACCCCGUGGUGGGACAAUUGGCCAGGUGCAUAUUCCUCAGAAGGUCAGUCACCCCCAGUUGUUUCCUGGGGCAGCUUGGGAGCUGUGUGGCCUGGCCCUGCUGGGAUGCUGACCCUCCCCCAGGCAGAGGGAGCGGGGGCCCAGAUGCCCCAGAGCUGACCAGAGCAGUAGGCAUCCAGGGUGACUGGGGUUGGGGGUGAUGUUUGGGUGGGAUCUCAUGGCUGCUUCUGUGGAAGAUCAGGCACCCACCCUUAAGGGGAUCAUGAAGAGAUCAGGGUUGGGUGGCUGGAAGGGAAGGGAGUCAGUCUAGAAACAAGAGGACUGAUGAGAGGAGCUGGGGAUAGAGAGGGUAGAAGUAGAGCCUGGGAUCAGGGAGAACCAUGAAGCAUCCCUGAUCAGGAGCCAGACCAGGCCGAGGGGAGCGUGGGAGUCCAGACAUGAGAGGGUGAGGCCUAAAGAAGGCCACAGUCUGCUUCCGGCCACCGCCAUCAUGACGCAUGACCUCAUUGUGGCCUGGCCAGCCAGAUCGCCCAUCUGAAUGGGCCUGCAGAGAGGGUGGCUGGGAGUGAGCUAACAGCAACCCAACAGGCGUCCUGGGCUCCACCGAGGCCAAGUCUUGCUGUGUUAGAGGCCCCGUGGCUGCAGCCCAAGCGGGCGCAGGGCUCACAGGCCCUCGUUGUUACCCGCCAUUCAGGUGGUUGCUUC
rnacentral:lncRNA from 1 species